rnacentral:rRNA from 1 species
CCCGCUGAACUUAAGCAUAUCAAUAAGCGGAGGAAAAGAAACUAACAAGGAUUCCCCUAGUAACUGCGAGUGAAGCGGGAAAAGCUCAAAUUUAAAAUCUGGCGGUCUUUCGGCCGUCCGAGUUGUAAUCUGGAGAAGCGUUUAUCCGCGUUGGACCGUGUACAAGUCUUCUGGAAGGGAGCGUCAUAGAGGGUGAGAAUCCCGUCUUUGACACGGACUACCAAUGCUUUUGUGAUGCGCUCUCGAAGAGUCGAGUUGUUUGGGAAUGCAGCUCAAAAUGGGUGGUAAAUUCCAUCUAAAGCUAAAUAUUGGCGAGAGACCGAUAGCGAACAAGUACCGUGAGGGAAAGAUGAAAAGCACUUUGGAAAGAGAGUUAAACAGUAUGUGAAAUUGUUGAAAGGGAAACGAUUGAGGUCAGUCAUGUCUGUGGGAUUCAGCUGUCUCUGGCAGUGUACUUCCCAUGGAUGGGUCAACAUCAGUUUUGGCCGGUGGAUAAGGGCUGGAGGAAGGUGGCACCCUUGGGUGUGUUAUAGCCUCCUGUCACAUACAUCGGCUGAGACUGAGGAAUGCAGCUCGCCUUUAUGGCCGGGGUUCGCCCACGUUCGAGCUUAGGAUGUUGACAUAAUGGCCUUAAACGACCCGUCUUGAAACACGG